GGGAUGGUAACUCAGCUCGGGAGAGUGCACGACUGAAGCUCGUGAUGUCGGGGGUUCAAAUCCCCCCCGUCCCA
rnacentral:tRNA from 1 species